rnacentral:tRNA from 1 species
AAUAGUCAUAGAAGGGUCAUUAACUUCCAAUUAUGUUAUAAACACUAAUAUAUGUUAAUAUUAUUCACUAU